rnacentral:rRNA from 1 species
GGGUUGUGAGGUUAAGCGACUAAGCGUACACGGUGGAUGCCCUGGCAGUCAGAGGCGAUGAAGGACGUGCUAAUCUGCGAUAAGCGUCGGUAAGGUGAUAUGAACCGUUAUAACCGGCGAUUUCCGAAUGGGGAAACCCAGUGUGUUUCGACACACUAUCAUUAACUGAAUCCAUAGGUUAAUGAGGCGAACCGGGGGAACUGAAACAUCUAAGUACCCCGAGGAAAAGAAAUCAACCGAGAUUCCCCCAGUAGCGGCGAGCGAACGGGGAGCAGCCCAGAGCCUGAAUCAGUGUGUGUGUUAGUGGAAGCGUCUGGAAAGGCGCGCGAUACAGGGUGACAGCCCCGUACACAAAAAUGCACAUGCUGUGAGCUCGAUGAGUAGGGCGGGACACGUGGUAUCCUGUCUGAAUAUGGGGGGACCAUCCUCCAAGGCUAAAUACUCCUGACUGACCGAUAGUGAACCAGUACCGUGAGGGAAAGGCGAAAAGAACCCCGGCGAGGGGAGUGAAAAAGAACCUGAAACCGUGUACGUACAAGCAGUGGGAGCACGCUUAGGCGUGUGACUGCGUACCUUUUGUAUAAUGGGUCAGCGACUUAUAUUCUGUAGCAAGGUUAACCGAAUAGGGGAGCCGAAGGGAAACCGAGUCUUAACUGGGCGUUAAGUUGCAGGGUAUAGACCCGAAACCCGGUGAUCUAGCCAUGGGCAGGUUGAAGGUUGGGUAACACUAACUGGAGGACCGAACCGACUAAUGUUGAAAAAUUAGCGGAUGACUUGUGGCUGGGGGUGAAAGGCCAAUCAAACCGGGAGAUAGCUGGUUCUCCCCGAAAGCUAUUUAGGUAGCGCCUCGUGAAUUCAUCUCCGGGGGUAGAGCACUGUUUCGGCAAGGGGGUCAUCCCGACUUACCAACCCGAUGCAAACUGCGAAUACCGGAGAAUGUUAUCACGGGAGACACACGGCGGGUGCUAACGUCCGUCGUGAAGAGGGAAACAACCCAGACCGCCAGCUAAGGUCCCAAAGUCAUGGUUAAGUGGGAAACGAUGUGGGAAGGCCCAGACAGCCAGGAUGUUGGCUUAGAAGCAGCCAUCAUUUAAAGAAAGCGUAAUAGCUCACUGGUCGAGUCGGCCUGCGCGGAAGAUGUAACGGGGCUAAACCAUGCACCGAAGCUGCGGCAGCGACGCUGAUGCGUUGUUGGGUAGGGGAGCGUUCUGUAAGCCUGCGAAGGUGUGCUGUGAGGCAUGCUGGAGGUAUCAGAAGUGCGAAUGCUGACAUAAGUAACGAUAAAGCGGGUGAAAAGCCCGCUCGCCGGAAGACCAAGGGUUCCUGUCCAACGUUAAUCGGGGCAGGGUGAGUCGACCCCUAAGGCGAGGCCGAAAGGCGUAGUCGAUGGGAAACAGGUUAAUAUUCCUGUACUUGGUGUUACUGCGAAGGGGGGACGGAGAAGGCUAUGUUGGCCGGGCGACGGUUGUCCCGGUUUAAGCGUGUAGGCUGGUUUUCCAGGCAAAUCCGGAAAAUCAAGGCUGAGGCGUGAUGACGAGGCACUACGGUGCUGAAGCAACAAAUGCCCUGCUUCCAGGAAAAGCCUCUAAGCAUCAGGUAACAUCAAAUCGUACCCCAAACCGACACAGGUGGUCAGGUAGAGAAUACCAAGGCGCUUGAGAGAACUCGGGUGAAGGAACUAGGCAAAAUGGUGCCGUAACUUCGGGAGAAGGCACGCUGAUAUGUAGGUGAAGUCCCUUGCGGAUGGAGCUGAAAUCAGUCGAAGAUACCAGCUGGCUGCAACUGUUUAUUAAAAACACAGCACUGUGCAAACACGAAAGUGGACGUAUACGGUGUGACGCCUGCCCGGUGCCGGAAGGUUAAUUGAUGGGGUCAGCGCAAGCGAAGCUCUUGAUCGAAGCCCCGGUAAACGGCGGCCGUAACUAUAACGGUCCUAAGGUAGCGAAAUUCCUUGUCGGGUAAGUUCCGACCUGCACGAAUGGCGUAAUGAUGGCCAGGCUGUCUCCACCCGAGACUCAGUGAAAUUGAACUCGCUGUGAAGAUGCAGUGUACCCGCGGCAAGACGGAAAGACCCCGUGAACCUUUACUAUAGCUUGACACUGAACAUUGAGCCUUGAUGUGUAGGAUAGGUGGGAGGCUUUGAAGUGUGGACGCCAGUCUGCAUGGAGCCGACCUUGAAAUACCACCCUUUAAUGUUUGAUGUUCUAACGUGGACCCGUGAUCCGGGUUGCGGACAGUGUCUGGUGGGUAGUUUGACUGGGGCGGUCUCCUCCUAAAGAGUAACGGAGGAGCACGAAGGUUGGCUAAUCCUGGUCGGACAUCAGGAGGUUAGUGCAAUGGCAUAAGCCAGCUUGACUGCGAGCGUGACGGCGCGAGCAGGUGCGAAAGCAGGUCAUAGUGAUCCGGUGGUUCUGAAUGGAAGGGCCAUCGCUCAACGGAUAAAAGGUACUCCGGGGAUAACAGGCUGAUACCGCCCAAGAGUUCAUAUCGACGGCGGUGUUUGGCACCUCGAUGUCGGCUCAUCACAUCCUGGGGCUGAAGUAGGUCCCAAGGGUAUGGCUGUUCGCCAUUUAAAGUGGUACGCGAGCUGGGUUUAGAACGUCGUGAGACAGUUCGGUCCCUAUCUGCCGUGGGCGCUGGAGAACUGAGGGGGGCUGCUCCUAGUACGAGAGGACCGGAGUGGACGCAUCACUGGUGUUCGGGUUGUCAUGCCAAUGGCACUGCCCGGUAGCUAAAUGCGGAAGAGAUAAGUGCUGAAAGCAUCUAAGCACGAAACUUGCCCCGAGAUGAGUUCUCCCUGACCCUUUAAGGGUCCUGAAGGAACGUUGAAGACGACGACGUUGAUAGGCCGGGUGUGUAAGCGCAGCGAUGCGUUGAGCUAACCGGUACUAAUGAACCGUGAGGCUUAACCUUACAACGCCGAAGGUGUUU